rnacentral:rRNA from 1 species
CAGCCGUAAACUAUGCUCGCUAGGUGUCAGGGACGGUGCGACCGUUUCUGGUGCCGCAGGGAAGCCGUGAAGCGAGCCACCUGGGAAGUACGGUCGCAAGGCUGAAACUUAAGGAUUGCGGGAGCACCACAACGGGUGGAGCCUGCGGUUUAAUUGGACUCAACGCCGGAAAUCUCACCGGAUAGGACAGACAUAUGAUAGUCGGGCUGAAGACUCUACUUGAUGAUCUGAGAGGUGGUGCAUGGCGUCAGUGACU